rnacentral:rRNA from 1 species
ACAAGCGGUGGAUGAUGUGGAUUAAUUCGAUGCAACGCGAAAACCUUACCUACCCUUGACAUGUCCGGAAUCCCGAAGAGAUUUGGGAGUGCUCGCAAGAGAGCCGGAACACAGGUGCUGCAUGGCUGUCGUCAGCUCGUGUCGUGAGAUGUUGGGUUAAGUCCCGCAACGAGCGCAACCCUUGUCAUUAGUUGCCAUCAUUUGGUUGGGCACUCUAAUGAGACUGCCGGUGACAAACCGGAGGAAGGUGGGGAUGACGUCAAGUCCUCAUGGCCCUUAUGGGUAGGGCUUCACACGUCAUACAAUGGUCGGUACAGAGGGUUGCCAACCCGCGAGGGGGAGCUAAUCCCACAAAGCCGAUCGUAGUCCGGAUCGCAGUCUGCAACUCGACUGCGUGAAGUCGGAAUCGCUAGUAAUCGUGGAUCAGCAUGUCACGGUGAAUACGUUCCCGGGUCUU